CGCUUUGAGAGGGGCUCGCGUCCCAUUAGAUAGUUGGUGAGGUAACGGCCCACCAAGUCCGCGAUGGGUAGCCGAGCUGAGAGGCUGAUCGGCCACACUGGAACUGAGACACGGUCCAGACUCCUACGGGAGGCAGCAGUAGGGAAUAUUGGGCAAUGGGCGCAAGCCUGACCCAGCAACGCCGCGUGAGGGAAGAAGGUUUUCGGAUUGUAAACCUCUGUCCUAUGUGACGAAGGAAGUGACGGUAGCAUAGGAGGAAGCCCCGGCUAACUACGUGCCAGCAGCCGCGGUAAUACGUAGGGGGCGAGCGUUGUCCGGAAUUACUGGGCGUAAAGGGUGCGUAGGCGGCACGGUAAGUUGGAUGUGAAAUACCCGGGCUUAACUUGGGGGCUGCAUCCAAAACUGCUGAGCUUGAGUGCGGGAGAGGAAAGCGGAAUUCCUAGUGUAGCGGUAAAAUGCGUAGAUAUUAGGAGGAACACCGGUGGCGAAGGCGGCUUUCUGGACCGUAACUGACGCUGAGGCACGAAAGCGUGGGGGAGCAAACAGGAUUAGAUACCCUGGUAGUCCACGCCGUAAACGA
rnacentral:rRNA from 1 species